UUGACUGUCCACGGCUAAAGUUUUCUGAAAUUCCUCAGAGACUCACUAACCUGCUGCUGCCACCAGACCCUAUAGUGAUAAACCAUAUCAUCAGUGUUGACCCCAACGAUCAGAAGAAGACGGCUUGUUAUGACAUAGAUGUAGAAGUUGAAGACCCAUUAAAGGGACAGAUGAGUAGUUUUCUUCUCUCGACAGCUAACCAACAGGAGAUUACAGCAUUGGACAACAAGAUUCAUGAGACAAUCGAAUCCAUAAAUCAGUUAAAAAUACAACGUGAUUUCAUGCUGAGUUUCUCCAAAGAUCCCAAAGGAUACAUCCAAGACCUUCUCCGGUCCCAAAGUAGGGAUCUUA